CCUACGGGAGGCAGCAGUGGGGAAUAUUGGGCAAUGGGCGCAAGCCUGACCCAGCAACGCCGCGUGAAGGAAGAAGGCUUUCGGGUUGUAAACUUCUUUUCUCAGGGACGAAGCAAGUGACGGUACCUCAGGAAUAAGCCACUGCUAACUACGGGCCAGCCGCCGCGGUAAUACGUAGGUGGCACGCGUUAUCCGGAGUUACUGGGUGUAAAGGGCGUGUAGGCGGGAAAGCAAGUCAGAUGUGAAAGCCAUGGGCUAAACCUGUGGCCUGCAGUUGAAACUGUUGUUCUUGAGUGCUGGUGAGGAAGACGGAAUGCCUGGUGUAGCGGUGAAAUGCGUAGAUAUUAGGAGGAACACCAGUGGCGAAGGCG
rnacentral:rRNA from 1 species